GAUGAACGCUGGCGGCGUGCCUAAUACAUGCAAGUCGAGCGAACGGACGAGAAGCUUGCUUCUCUGAUGUUAGCGGCGGACGGGUGAGUAACACGUGUAUACCCCACUUAUAAUUCGGGGAAAACUUCGGGAAACCGGAGCUAAUCCCGGAGAAGAUUUUGAACCGCAUGGUUCAAAGGUGAAAUACGGUCUUGCUGUCUCGUCUAGAUGGAUCCGCGCUGCUUUGGCUAGUUGGUAGGGUAACGGCUUACCAAGGCAACGAUGCAUAGCCGACCUGUGAGGCUGAUCGGCCACCCUGGAACUGAGCCACGGUCCAUGCUCCUACGGGACGCAGCAGUCGGGUAUCGUCCGCAAUGGGCGAGAGCCUUACGGAGCAACGCCGCGUGAGUGAUGAAGGUCUUCGGAUCGUAAUACUCUGUUAUUAGGGAAGAACAUAUGUGUAAGUAACUGUGCACAUCUUGACGGUACCUAAUCAGAAAGCCACGGCUAACUACGUG
rnacentral:rRNA from 1 species